GAAUGGCUGACCUGUGAGGACUGUUAUUGC
rnacentral:piRNA from 1 species